rnacentral:rRNA from 1 species
AGAGUUUGAUUAUGGCUCAGGAUAAACGCUGACAGAAUGCUUGACACAUGCAAGUCUACUUGAAUUCACUUCGGUGAUAGUAAGGUGGCGGACGGGUGAGUAACACGUAAAGAACUUGCCUUGUAGUCUGGGACAACUAUUGGAAACGAUAGCUAAUACCGGAUAUUAUGAUUUUAUCGCAUGAUAAGAUUAUGAAAGCUAUAUGCGCUACGAGAGAGCUUUGCGUCCCAUUAGCUAGUUGGUGAGGUAACGGCUCACCAAGGCGACGAUGGGUAGCCGGCCUGAGAGGGUGAACGGCCACAAGGGGACUGAGACACGGCCCUU